rnacentral:rRNA from 1 species
UACGUAGGGUGCGAGCGUUGUCCGGAAUUACUGGGCGUAAAGAGCUCGUAGGUGGUUUGUCGCGUUGUUCGUGAAAACUCACAGCUUAACUGUGGGCGUGCGGGCGAUACGGGCAGACUGGAGUACUGCAGGGGAGACUGGAAUUCCCGGUGUAGCGGUGAAAUGCGCAGAUAUCGGGAAGAACACCGGUGGCGAAGGCGGGUCUCUGGGCAGUAACUGACGCUGAGGAGCGAAAGCGUGGGGAGCGAACAGG